rnacentral:rRNA from 1 species
UAGCAAUACAUGGCGUACUGCUCAGUAACACGUGGAUAACCUGCCCUUGGGUCCGGCAUAACCCCGGGAAACUGGGGAUAAUUCCGGAUAACGCACAUAUGCUGGAAUGCUUUAUGCGUAAAAUGGAUUCGUCUGCCCAAGGAUGGGUCUGCGGCCUAUCAGGUAGUAGUGGGUGUAAUGUACCUACUAGCCAACAACGGGUACGGGUUGUGAGAGCAAGAGCCCGGAGAUGGAUUCUGAGACAUGAAUCCAGGCCCUACGGGGCGCAGCAGGCGCGAAAACUUUACAAUGCGGGAAACCGUGAUAAGGGGACACCGAGUGCCAGCAUCAUAUGCUGGCUGUCCAGGUGUGUAAAAUACACCUGUCAGCAAGGGCCGGGCAAGACCGGUGCCAGCCGCCGCGGUAACACCGGCGGCCCGAGUGGUGAUCGUGAUUAUUGGGUCUAAAGGGUCCGUAGCCGGUUUGGUCAGUCCUCCGGGAAAUCUGACGGCUCAACCGUUAGGCUUUCGGGGGAUACUGCCAGGCUUGGAACCGGGAGAGGUAAGAGGUACUACAGGGGUAGGAGUGAAAUCUUGUAAUCCCUGUGAGACCACCUGUGGCGAAGGCGUCUUACCAGAACGGGUUCGACGGUGAGGGACGAAAGCUGGGGGCACGAACCGGAUUAGAUACCCGGGUAGUCCCAGCUGUAAACUAUGCAAACUCGGUGAUGCAUUGGCUUGAUGCCAAUGCAGUGCCGCAGGGAAGCCGUUAAGUUUGCCGCCUGGGAAGUACGUACGCAAGUAUGAAACUUAAAGGAAUU